ensembl:lncRNA
CCGAGUGUCAGGCCCUCGUGUCUGUGAGUUCUGGUGGCACUCUGUACCUGCCCGCCCCGUCCUCCCCAGGGCUCGUCCUCCCCAGGGCUCUUCCUCCCGGGCGGGUGGCUGCUGUCCCGGAGACCGUGGCCCCUGCAGGGGCGCAGAGUCCCUUGAAGGCAAGGACAGAGUCUCCUCGGCUCUGUAAGCCCGGUGCCCGGUGGUUGCUCUGGAAAAGUGGCCUCGGCAGAGGCCUGCUCUCUCUCCCAGGGGGCUGCGCGUCCUCUCUCCUUCCAGAAGCCCGAGGACACAGGACUGCUGGCCAUGAGGCCGCUUUGGACGCGGGGUUCGCCUAGACGCUCUGAAUUGGAAGCGCCCCAGAGGUCGGGGAGUGUCCUACCCGCUGCGGGCCCCUGGGCCACUCCCAACCCGCGACGUGGGGCGGCGGCCCCCGAGGAGGAGGUGGCCUUGGGUCCAGCUCUGGGGCCUUGAGGAAGGGCCCCUUCUGGUCUGUGUAAGUGACUGGGGCGCCGCCCGGCUUGCGUUGCGCAUUGCCCCCCCCGCAGGACCGACCACGGGCGGCCGCGCAGCCUUGUGUCCUCUGCCCCAGCUCUCCCUGCUCGCCUGCCCGGAUCUGGGCCGUGGCCAAGACACCCGCUGCCCGGCCCGCCUUCCUCCCUGUGCCCUGGGCAGCUCCCGCCGCCUGGCCUCACCGCCUGGCCCGGAUCCAGUGCUCCAGCCCAGAACCGUAGGAGUUUCUCAUUUGGCCUCAGCGACCCUCGGCGGCCUCUGCAAGAAGCUGCGGCGCGGGCUGGUGCCUGCACAGGGCACGUGGUCCAGGGAGUUUCCGGGCCCUUCUGGCGCUGCCCUGCUUGCAUUCCUGUCCCCGGCCAUUAUGUCACCUCUAACCUGGGGCGAGGGGCGCUCUUGGGCCUCGGGGGUGCUCUUGGAUCUCGGGGCCCUUGACCGCCCUCAGUCUCUGAGCAGAGAAGCUCCCACCGGGCACCUGGCCCUGCUCGGCUGCAGGGACCUCCCCGCGUCGGGCUGUGGCCGGCACCCGGGUGCGGCUUGUGUGUUUGUGAGACGCAGGGGCGGGAAGAGGGCUCUGGAGUGCGCGCUGCCCUCCCGGCACCCCGCCUCGUCUGUCCGGGGCUCCGGGGAGCGGGCCACUGCGCUCGCUUGGGGCGGUCGAGCCGCCCCUCGAGGGGCUGCGGGUCACCGUGACGCUGCGACGCUCAGGAAGAGAGGCUGUGAAGGGUCAGGAGCAGAGGACACUCCUCAGGGACACCCCGAGGCCAGGCGUCCCCAGCUGGGGUGUAUGUCCCCUGCUUUUGCUGUGCCUCUUUCCUUUAGUCCCUGGAGCUCACGCAGUGUCACCGUCCUGCCUGGGACUUUUCACGUAAGUUAAAUGCCAUCCCAGGUUCUGGAAGAUUCCUCAGAAAUCAUGGCGGGAAGCCCUGCUCCUCCUUCUGGCAGAUAUUGAUUCCAGGCGCUCUGGGCUCAAUACCAGCUGUCGCGGCCCCGGGAGUGGCCCGUCCUACCUGGGACCUGCGGCCCCUCUGCUCAGAAGCUGCAGCGCAGGGGGGGCCUCCUGAAGCCGAGACGGGGCUUUGGGCGCUCCCACCGCAGUGUCACUUGGACGCUGUGCCCGGCAGCCCCCUGCGCUCUGGUUGUCCAGUUUCCCAGCGUUGUGUCACCCAGUGCGUGGCCCGAGGUCCCUUUGGGAAGGGCUGGGGCCACUGCAGUGUCUACUUGCCUCGGUGGUGCCGCGUCCUUCUCCCUGGGGACCCGGCCACAUCCCCGGGCCCCAGUUCCGGUAUCUGAAAACCGGCUCGGGACAGGACCUGGGCAAGGGGUCAGGACCUGUUUAUGGGGGUGGCUGCCCUCGGCCUCCUGCUGUCCCGGCUCUUUCGAGUGUCCAUUUUAGACAGUCCCCUGGCCGCUUGCCUGUCCUUCCCACCCCCGAAGGCCGUGCCGUAGCGCCCACCCCCCGCUCUGUGGCCAGCAUCAGAGCUCCCGGUCAGCAGUGGCCAUCGUCAUCGUCCCCGGCUUGGCGGGCAGGCCCUCUGCCGCGGUUCCUGGGUGGCGGGGUGGGGGGUCCUCUCCUCCCUUCCCAGGCUCGGCGCCCCGCCCUCUUGGCCGGAGACUUGGCUCGGCCUGGCGGCCUGGCGGCCGGCUGCCCACCUCUUCCCGUCGUCCUGGACUCCGCUGCCUGCCGUGCUGAGGUCCCACAGCACAUGGGGGGGGUCCCCCUGUUUCCCGGACAGGGCACACCCGUGGGGAAGACCCGGGUCCCGUUUGGCUCCCUUGGGGGGAGGGAGGUGGGUGCAGUAGCUCCUUGUGGGGCGGGGGGAGCUGCGGGCCCAGAAGUUUCAGAGACACCAGGGGUCCGUCCGAUGCAGGGCCUC